AAAAGGACGUCAGAAGCCCCAGACAUAAUUAUUAAAAAUGGCAAUGCAAAUUGCGACAAGAAAGCUGUGAAUACAACAAGGGCUUUUUAUUGGCAAAGGGUAGUAAGAGUAGUUCUUGAAAUGCGAGAAGUGUUUAUUCUAGAAAAUGUGCUCAAUAUGGUAGGAACGGGAUUGCUUGUGGCUGCUAUUGACGCAUUACUAACGUUACAACUUGACCUAGCUACCUGGCGCGGUUUGUCUCCCGAUGAGGGGCUAAACGCCUUCGUUGUCGUGAGAAGCUUAAACGUCAUAUCCGGUUUAGCCAUCGCCCUUUUGAUUCAGAUUCCGGGAUUCAGCUACUCAUGUUUACUCAUCGGCUCUGCGGUAUUUGAUAUGACAGGAAACUCCUUAAUUCUACUCUCAUCUGGCGCGCCUCUGUAUUUCCUAUCGUUCGCCCUAAUUGGUGUUUCCCUAGGAGGCGUCAUAACGUCGUCUGUGAUUGGACUAAAGAUUAUACGACCGGAGCUGAUCUCGCAAGCGUCAGGGACGCUAUAUACCAUAAUGGGAUUCCUGACGGCCGCAUUUGGGCCUAUUCUGGGUAAGAACAAUUAUAAAAGGCUGCCAGAGAACCUCUGAAUUUAUCAGUAUCUUUUAUUUAGCGUAAUUUGCUACAAAAGAACAGGUCUUUGAUUAAGUCGCCAUGUAAGAACCAAUCAAGAAAGCUUUACAUCCUAGUCCAUUAUUUAAUUAAUAAUAUAACGUCAAUUGUGGUAGCGACCAUAAAACAGCUCUGACAACAAUAUAAGUUAAAAUUAGCAGUAAAAAUGACGCCGUCGCAAUUUUCUAGUAAUUAUGACAAUGGACCCGCAAUUCAAUGAUUCCGGUUAUAUAUAUUAUAUCGUACUUUCAAAUUUGUGAAGUUUUUAACCAAGUGCUAUUUGACGAAAACGGUGAAAAUGAUUGUAACAUCAGUUUGUUUUUCACGGAUUUGCAUAAUUUCGUAGAACUAAACUUUAAGACUGACAAAAUAUCGGAAAGAAAGUAGCCAGAGUAUAAAGAUAAAAUGAACUGCCUCCAACGAAUUACUAAAAUACUAGUUGCUAAAUAGUAAAAUUAGCGGCUAUUGAACAGCAUGACAAGAAAGAAAGUUUUCUAAAUGAACUGAACUCUAUUUCGGUUUCACUCGAGGACAGUACCAAGAUUAUCGAGUAGAAAAUGUCAAAGGUCGAAGAUAAGGUGGAAGCCACCGACUACGCGAUGGAUCUACUAGCGGACAAGGUCACCCAUUUGGAGAAGGGGCUUGAAAACAUCCGGGACAAUGUGGCUUUUCUCAAGUCACAAUCCAUGAGGUACAACCUGGUGUUCACUAACGUCACAUAGGAAACCGCUGAAGGAAAGGCCGGAGAGGCUACCGAGCGCACACUACGGCAACAUCUUCAAGAUGCACUAAAUAUCACUAAGGAGACCGCUAACUGUAUAGGCUUCGAGCGCGUCCAUAGGUAUGUACAGGCGCGUACCCGUUUGUAACCGUGGCUGGACAAUUGAGGACGAUUGAGUCAAAGUUUAUUUACUGUAGAGACCAUGAAUAUGUGCUGAAGCAAUGGAAGGAACUCCGGGGCACCGCUUUCCAUGAAUACGAGCAGUAUCCGCCUGAAGAGUAUCUCCCGGUGGAGCAAAUUUGUACCAAGAAUGGAGGUGGCCAGAGAAGAGGUGAAGAGCAUACGACACGCUGUACAUUGCCGUCCGGUACGCGACUAAGUGCACACCGGAGGAUAUUUCCGUGACAUCGCCAGUGACUACAACCUCGUGCUUUAUAUCACCAUCAGCAUACACGUACUGACUGUGAUUCUUUACAUCACAGCAUUCAUGACGAGGAGAUUACGUGACAAUGACGUCACAGUGGAUAUAACACCAGACACUUUAAAGACUGAGGAUGACUGUUUCGAAAAAAAUAAUCAAGAAUAAACUUUCUUCACUUUUGGUCACACUGGCUUGCUUUUGGAAAUUAAUGUUGCUAUUGACAAUAAAUGAGUUGUGGCCUUAUUCGAAGUUAUCGUUAAUAAUUUCAUCCAUAUCAUAAUCAUAACUUAUGUGCUAAGCACAUGUUAUUGCGUUAAUUGUUCAAUGUAUGAUUAAUUAACAAUACAAUAAAUGCGUUAGUUGUCACUGUAUUUAUAUGUGUUUGAACCUGAAAAUAAAAUGAAC